rnacentral:rRNA from 1 species
UUUAAUUGAAGAGUUUGAUCAUGGCUCAGAUUGAACGCUGGCGGCAGGCCUAACACAUGCAAGUCGAGCGGAAACGAAGAGGUGCUUGCACCUUUGGCGUCGAGCGGCGGACGGGUGAGUAAUGCUUGGGAAUAUGCCUUAUGGUGGGGGACAACAGUUGGA